GGGGAUUUGGCUCAGUGGUAGAGCGCUUGCCUAGCAAGCACAAGGCCCUGGGUUCGGUCCCCAGCUCCU
rnacentral:tRNA from 1 species